AUUGAACGCUAGCGGGAUGCCUUACACAUGCAAGUCGAACGGAGUGGCGAACGGGGGAGUAAUGUAUCGGAACGUGCCCAGUAGCGGGGGAUAACUACGCGAAAGCGUAGAUAAUACCGCAUACGAUUGGAGCGGCCUAUAGCGGAUUAGCUGGUGGGGGGGGUAACGGCUCACCAAGGCGACGAGCCGUAGCUGGUGUGAGAGGACGACCGGCCACACUGGGACUGAGACACGGCCCAGACUCCUACGGGAGGCAGCAGUGGGGAAUUUUGGACAAUGGGGGAAAGCCUGAUCCAGCCAUCCCGCGUGUGCGAUGAAGGCCUUCGGGUUGUAAAGCACUUUUGGCAGGGAAGCGGUACCUGCAGAAUAAGCACCGGCUAACUACGUGCCAGCAGCCGCGGUAAUUC
rnacentral:rRNA from 1 species